CUUCAUGCUAAUGCCAUGUGACCUCACAGUGUGCCACGUGACCUCAUAGCCAUCCCUUCCUGUUAACGCCACGUGACUUCACAGCCACCACAGCCAUUUGGUUGCUAGGAAGAUGAUGCCCAGAGAGCCUCAUUAAAACUUUCCUGACAAUAGCUCUAUGGCCCAUGUUUUCUUUUCCUUCCCUGUGAAGUUCCCCAACUUGCUUCAGAAUGGAGACCUUCAAGUACCCUGCAGAAGCUUUCUAGAAAACGGAAUUCGUUUGAAGUUUAUCUAGCUCCCUCCAGUCUGUUGACCUCCUGGUAUCCUUUUUAAUGUGAGGUGUUUGAACGUAGCCGCCUUCAUCCAUGAAACCAAAGGAUAAAUAUUUUAUUCUAAAGUAAA